rnacentral:lncRNA from 1 species
CCACCCACCCAGCAUCCUGCAUCGCGUUCCGGCCUUGCAGUGGAAGUUGUUGCAGGAAGGCAACGGGACGCAUUUGGGGACCCCGUCCACCACCUUGCACCGAGUUCCUGCACCACAACGGGUGUUCUUGCAGGAAGGCAAUGGGACGCAUUGGGGCCACCCACCCACCAUCCUGCACGCCGUUCCCGUGUUGCAUUGGAAGUUGUUGCAGGAAGGCAACGGGACGCAUUUGGGUAUCCCAUCCACCACCUUGCACCGAGUUCCUUCACCGCAGCGGGUGUUCUUGCAGGAUGGCAAUGGGAUGCACUGGGGAGAUCCAUGCACCAUCCUGCACUGUGUUCCUGCUUCACAACGGGUGUUCUUGCAGGAUGGCAACGGGAUGCACUGGGGUGAUCCAUGCACCAUCUUGCAUUCUGUUCCUGCUUCACAACGGGUGUUCUUGCAUGAUGGCAAUGGGAUGCAUUGGGGAGAUCCGUGCACCAUCUUGCAUUCUGUGCCUGCUUCACAACGCGUGUUCUUGCAUGAAGGCAGUGGGAUGCACUGGGGAGAUCCGUGCACCAUCUUGCAUUCUGUGCCUGCUUCACAACGGGUGUUCUUGCAGGAUGGCAAUGGGAUGCACUGUGGUGAUCCAUGCACCAUCUUGCAUUCUGUUCCU